UACGGAGGGGACUAGCGUUGUUCGGAAUUACUGGGCGUAAAGCGCACGUAGGCGGAUUUGUAAGUCAGGGGUGAAAUCCCGGGGCUCAACCUCGGAACUGCCUUUGAUACUGCAAAUCUUGAGUCCGGAAGAGGUGAGUGGAAUUCCUAGUGUAGAGGUGAAAUUCGUAGAUAUUAGGAAGAACACCAGUGGCGAAGGCGGCUCACUGGUCCGGUACUGACGCUGAGGUGCGAAGGCGUGGGGGAGCGAACAGG
rnacentral:rRNA from 1 species